GCACUGUUGCUGGAGUGGUAACAGCUUCGUCUGCAAAACGAAUGUCGUGGGUUCGAUUCCCUCACAGUGCU
rnacentral:tRNA from 2 species